AUAAAGCGGAACAACACCACCGUUAGAGUUUUUCUCUGGUGUGGCUCGGGCUCACUACCGAAUGCUCUUGGGUUUUCUUGUCAACAAUAAAACUCUGCUGCUUUUUAGUUGAUUCUCCUGUUUUUUAUUCGACUGAAUUUUUGGACUUUUUGACAACGAGUGGAACUUAGUUUUCACCAAAACAAAUUGGCGAGCUAGCCAGGACAGGACAGAGUCGAGGAUCCAGAGCCUGGGGACGGCCGCACACUGCUUCACAGACCCGCAGCUGCCAAAUUAACAAGGUAAGCAGAGCCUUUUUAUUUUUUCUGCAAAUUCCAAGGGUGUCUGUGAACAGAGUGCGUCCGACCAGGUAAAAAGAUCUUGUUAUGACUCACCUCUACUGAACCUAACCCAUACUAAAUUUAUACAAUCACAGGAAAAAGAGCGGAAUUCUGUAGAGAUUAAUAGAAGACCUGAAUUCAACAAAGUGGAUGAAAUAGAUAAUAAUAAUAAUAAAUGAAUGGAAGAACAAAGGGAGGGCAGUAGUAGUGAAGACGAAAAUUAUUAAUCCUGUAAUACAAGGAGAUAGAGAGACACGGGGUAUAAGAACACAUUUCUGGCUAGAAAGAAUAUACUAUGGCGAGGAUGGUGUAGAGAAUUGGCAAACUGAACAAGAAAUUUGUCAAAAACUGUGGCAGAUCACUAAAAUCAUAAACUUAAAACAGACAAAGGAAGAAUUUCCUGUCAUCCCAUGGGAGACUAUAAUACAUAGUCUGUGGGUCCCCUACACUCUAGCACCAAUACUAGAAUACUUGCGUAAUCAACCAGCUGCAACAGCCACAUUCCCUUUGCAUCCCUUUUUGAAGUUUCCUGAAGGAUUGAACAUAGCAGGAAGAACUAGAGCAGCAGUAGAUCCAAGGCUCGAUAUAAACAUCGUCCCCAGAAGUGUAGAGUGGGAAACGGGGAAAUUCGGAUACAUAGUUAAAACCCCGGCCGAAGACGGGUCUGAAAAUUUGAGAUUCAGUCCCACGAGAAAAGCUGUUAUAAAGAAAGGACUUACAGUAAGUAAAAUAGUGAUAUUAAUGAUAAGAAAAGCUCACCCUGAGCCCGAAAUUUCUAGACUAUCAGGCAGUGCUAGACAAGGGUUUAUGGUAGCUAAAAUGGGGAAUGGACAGGGAUUGCUGAACCAAGUGGAGCUAGUGAUAAGACAGCAGCCCGACCAUGUUAAACAAAUAACACAUUGCAUGAAUAAAUGGCACAGGCGAACAUCAGGACGAUUACAGUGGCCAAAGAAUGGAACCUUUGAAGCAAUGAAGUAGAGGCCAAUAUUAAACAUUACAAAGCAAAAGACACAAGUAAUCAGAGAGAGGGAAAGCGAGCGAGAGAGAGGGAGGUGCUCAGAUGGUUCAGACUAACAGCACAUACUGGACAUAAAACGGUUACCAGCCUUGUCAGCAGAUGGCAGCAAGGACGAGCAAAAGCAAGUAGUCAUGCCCACUGCCCCCGCGCAACCGCCUCCUUGUACAGAGCCGGCAGUUCACAGUAAACUGGUGUACUCAGCCCGGCCAAAAAGAAACAUCACAAGUUGAUAACACGAGCAGCUCCUGUUCAAGCAACGAAUCCUGCAGCACAAGCUACAAAGGAAUUCAGCGACCAGAUAGCAAAACUGAGGGUUGUAGGAAGAAGGCUCACAGGAUAUUAAAAGACCCCCAUCACCCCAGCAACAAACUGUUCUGUCUGCUGCCGUCUGGUAGACGGUACCGCAGCAUCCGGACCAGGACCACCAGACUCAGGGACAGUUUUAUCCCACAGGCUAUACGACUGUUGAACUCCUGAGCUCUGUGAAGGUCACUACAUCUGUUUAUAGCAACAUAUUUAUUUAUACAUUUUAUUAUUCAUACACACUUAUAAUGUUUUAUUAUAAUGUUUAUUUGCACCUUACAAUGUUUUGGGUUUUUUUGCACUAGUUACUGGCAUUUGUACUUUAUUGUUUUAUUUGCACUAGUGUAUUGGUAUUGUAUUUUAGUUACUCUUAUUUUCUGAAACUAUUACAUGUUGAGAUGCUUGAGGUGCCUGGGAUUUAAGAUUUUCAUUGCCAACAUGUACACUGUAUCUGUUGUGACAGUAAAACCUUUGAACUUUGAAAAAGAGCGACGAAGGAGGAGAACAAUAAAUAAACAUCUCUUUGCUUUUACAUAUCUAGGACAGCAGUACACAUACACUCGUCUUCCACAGGGAUAUGUAGAAAGCCCCACAUUAUCUAAUAGAGUAUUAGCACAUGACCUGCAACAUUUGAAAGUAAGAACCACUGUUAUUCAAUAUGCAGAUGACCUGUUGAUAUGUAGCCAUACUAAAUCUCAGUGUGAGGAAGACUCAGUCUCAGUCCUGUCUGCAUUGGCUAAGGGGGGACACAAAAUCAGUUAAGAUAAACUACAGUUCUGUCAACCCCAAGUUGAAUACUUGGGCAGGCUACUUUGUGGUAAUAAACGUGCUAUAGCACCCUCACAGAUUGAAUCUGUAACGAAGGCUCCCAAACCGCAGACGGUGGGACAAAUAUUGUCAUUUCUGGGGAUGGCAGGGUUUAGUCAACCAUGGAUCUGUGAUUAUGCUAUUAAAACUGCCCCACUGCGAGCUUUAAUCCAAGUAGCAGGACAAACAAAUGGUUCCGCUGAAUUAUUAUGGACAGCUGAAGCUGGCCCUAAAAAAGGAUAUGCAAACGGCACCUGUGCUAGGUAACCCUGACUAUGAUAAAGUGUUCCACUUGUAUGUUGCAGAAAAAGCAGGAUAUGUGUGUGCUGUUUUGAUGCAGGAGACUCCUACUGGUAAGCAACCACUUGCAUAUUACAGUACCAAACUGGACAACAUUGAAACGGGCCUGCCUCCCUGUUAUCAGGGACUGGAAGUAGCUGCCUUUGCCUUUCAAAAAGCGUCAGCUGUGACCAUGGGUCACCCUACCAUUUUGCAUACAUCUCACCAGUUACACACGCUGAUCACUAGUCCCAGAUUUGUGUUAACCCAAGAACAGGCUAUGAGGUGAUUCUCUCAGCGCCUGAACUCACUAUACAACGCUGUGCCACAGUCAAUCCGGCCACACGAAUGAUGAUUCCCACAGAGGGUACACCACAUGACUGUGUUCAGGCUACAGAUGUGUUCUUAAAACCUCGUGAAGACUUGCAUAACCAGCCUAUAGCAGCACAACUUACUUACUUUGUAGAUGGCUCUUGUUUCAGAGACGCCACUGACACUCACACUGUUUAUGCUAUAGUGCAUUUAUUAUCUGAAAAUUCUUUUACAGAGGUACAGGCUACCAAAGUUUCUCAACCUUGUUCGGCACAGCUCGCUGAAAUCAAGGCUCUGACUGCAGCAUGUCAAUUGGCAGCAGGUAAAACUCUCAAUGUUUAUACAGACUCUCAAUACGCAUAUGCUGUGUGCCAUAUACAUGGCAACGUCUGGAAGCAGAGAGGCUUCCUGAGAGCAGACGGCACCCCAGUAACACAUGGGGAAGCUAUUUCAGCAUUAUUAGAUGCUAUUCACCUUCCAGUCGCUCUGGCAAUUAUUAAAUGCGCAGCACAUCAAAAAACAGACUCCCUCAUAGCAAAAGGAAACAAUCUGGCUGAUGAAACUGCUAAACGUGUAGCUACCAGCCCCUGCGUAGGACCUGUAUUAGUAGCAGAGGACUGUGAACCUCUCACAAAUUUAGCAUCUCUUAUAUUAGCUCAAAACAACGCUGGUCCUUAUGAACAAUCUGUGUGGCUCAAAAGAGGAGCCAUUAAAAAUGUUGUUGCUGGACCUCAAAAUGUCUGUGGCGUAGCAUGCAAGGACAUUUUGUUCUCCCACCCUCAUUGUUAAAAAUCGCUAUUAGAGAUGCGCAUGGAGCUGACCAUUGCGCAAGGGGGGAGGUUAUAAGACGACUUCAGAAAGUCUGGUGGACGCCAUUUUUAGCAGCCUCAGUAGAUAGAACAUUACAUGAAUGUGAUGUGUGUGCACAUCACAAUGUGAGGAAAGCAUUUUCUGCACCCUAAGCACACAUUCCACCACGAGGUCCAUUUCGACAUUUAAUGAUGGAUCACAUAGAUAUGACUGAACGAGUAAAGGGUUUUAGAUAUAUCUUAGUACUAAUAGAUAGGUUUAGUAGAUGGAUAUAAGCAAUUCCAACCAAAGGACCCGAUUCUAGGUCUACAGCAACAUUUUUGUGCAAAGAAGUUUUUCCAAGAUUUGGACUCCCAGACACCAUAAGCUCAGAUAAUGGAGCAGCCUUCGUGGCUGAGACAAUAAAGAUAGCCCUGAAAAUGCUGGGCAUCAAACAGAAAUUUGGAUGUGUAUACCAUCCACAAUCACAGGGAGCAGUAGAACAGGCUAAUGGCACUUUAAAAGCAAAACUAGCAAAAAUCAAAGCUGAUAGCCAUCAUAAAGUGAAUUGGGUAGAUGCAUUACCACUGGCUUUAAUGUCUAUUCGCUCACAAACUAACCGACUAACACACUUAACACCUCAUGAAAUGCUUACUCGGAGGCCAAUGCCAGUGCCGUAUCUUAGGGAUCCUUAUGAAGGCCCAACACUUAAACAAUGCUAAAGAGAAUUGACAUGUUAUUUGAAACAUCUAACCCAAAUACACAAGACUUUGUUUCAACAGGUAAAAGCUGUAUCUGAAGAACCAGGUCCAGGGGGCGAGGUCCCAGAACCAGAUCCAGGGGAAGGAACCUCAGCAGGACUAACGGCCCCACCAGGGUGUGACCCAUAUAACGUGUGGAAUUGGGAAACACGUACAUGGGACAGGAUGGAAGACUGACAGGGGCAGAAGCACUCUGUUGCUAGCCUUAGGAAUAACUCUAAUGCUGAUAGGUUGGAACAACAUACCCACUACACCCAAAACAGAACGACAGCAGCUGGUAGAGUGUGCCAUGGCCACAGGGCUGAUGGCAAUUGUAAGAGGCAAGAUACCAGUUAACAGAAUGAUCACACUCACGUACAGUUCCCUGUCCAACCAAACGUGGGACCAAGCUGGGCCCCACCGCCAUAUCGUCCGCCUCUCUCCAUGGCCCUAACUGAUCCCUGGAGCUUGGGAAACUGGAUGCCCCCUGCACCAAGACCAUCACUGUUUCCAGAUCCUCCCCUGAUGUGGCUGCCUGCUCCUGAGAUGAACCGAGGACCACUCUGCCCCGUGCCACUGGAGGAAUGGAUGCCACGCCCCUCCUGCUCCCCCUUCCCAAUACAUGAUAAAAAUUAACUGCUUGCGUUGCCCUACACACAGAGCCCAAUCAUGAUUCCAAUCACUUAUGGACGUAUGUGAUUUACGUUGAGUCCAGACCUAUGUUAAAUGAGAAUCAUACUUAAACUCUGUUUCUUGAUUCUUUGAUCAAACAAUUUGGGUGCUCAUUAUAUUUGUUUUAUUUGUGUUUAAAGUGCACUCCCGUAUACUUUUAUCUUAGUUUGAGUCACAUGUUCACUAUACUUGUUUAUUGCAUGCUCAUGUCACUUAUGACCAACCAUUGCUGUUCAAAUUUGGACUCUGUGCCUUCGUGUUCAUGGAUCCCACUGUGAAAUGUGGUUGAAACUGGUUAUGACAAGUGCAAUAGUGACUAUAUAGUCACUAAGGGGGGAUAUGUAGUGUAUUUCUGGUCACUAUACGAUGUCACAAUAUGAAUGUCACUAUAUACCUUUAAUCUGCACUACAAUCUAAUGCGUGUUAAAGUUAUAAAAGAGACAUCAUUUACUGAUGAUUACAACAAGUUUAACGCAGCAAUGACGAAUCAAAUAAUAUACUCAGUGUGUUACAAGCAGUGUGAUGUGUAUGUGUAACUUGUAUAAAGAAAUAAUAAUKUUUUUAAAAAAGGCAAUCUGACAAAAAAGAAAACAUAAUGGUGUCAAAUCAGAGACAAAUAUCUUUAAAAAAAAUAGUAAACGAUUUGGACAGAAUAUAAUGGUGUAAAGAGUAAGGAAGACUGUUUAAAGAAAAAAGAGACAUAUCAUGGCAAGGUAGGGGCUCUCCAGAGGGAAAGUCCCAGUUCCAAGGCCAUCCAAAGCAACCCAGGUGUUUGGAGACUUUCCAGGGGGAAGGUCACAAUGUAAGACCAUCCCCAAUAACCAAUAAGAUUAGAUCACGAUGUCAGACCAUAAAUGAUAGAUGUAAUGAUAAACCAGUCAGAUAAGUAACAGGCGAGGCCCUUAAGGAUAGAUAAAGCGGAACAAUAACACUGUUAGAGUUUUUCUCUGGUGUGGCUCGGGCUCACUACUGAAUGCUCUCGGGUUUUCUGGUCGACAAUAAAACUCUGCUACUUUUAA